UCUCUAUCUGGAGAUCCCUCCUCUUGGAGCUCUUCUGUGAGCCCAGGAUACGGGGUAAAUUGCUCUGUGAUCCGGGUGGAGUACAAUGGAAGAGCCUUCCCAGCCUUUGUGUGUGAGUUUCCCUGCAAGGAGAUAAGAGCCCAUGGUGAGCUGAGAUAUACCCACAUCCCUUCCUGGCAGACAGGGAUAAGAUGACAUCAAUGAAUUUUACAGAGUUUAGAAUUCUGUUAUCUACCCUUCAACAUCACUAUGUGUCCUAUAUUAGCAAUCUCUAUUAGGGAAUGCACAUCAUGAUGCUAUCUUUUUUUUAGCCCACAAUGAUAAUAAAACAAAAAAAUCCAGACCACCAAGCUGUGUGCCAAGAGCACAUCAUUACUUAUCUUUUCUCUUUUUAGUGUAAGACUGAGAUUCCUUCGUUGCCUGAAGGUUUUUCUGUGGGUUUGUUGUUUUUUUUUUUUUUUUUUGUGUGUGUGUGUGUGUGUGUGUGGUUUUUUUGUUUUGUUUUGUUUUGUUUUGCAGCUUAUCUAACUUCAAAUGUGCUUUGUAAUAGAAACCUGUGGUUUCACAAUAAUGACUCUUUCACAUCUUCUUAUCGCUUUUGGGAAUUAAAUCUGAAAAGCAUUGAUAUAUUUGAAUGACAGCUGUGGGUCUUGUUCCACAGAGAGGCAUUCUUAGCUGGGGCAUCAGUAGGUUUGAAUGGCACAGGAAGGACAGUGGAGCUGCUCCGUGCUGUAAGAUGCCCUUAGGGAACAAGAAAGUAGGAAAUGGCACAACACAUUUAUCUAAGGGUAAAUCAAUUGAUAGUAGACUGUAUGAAGGAGAAGCAACAAAGUUUGAUACAAAAUGUUGUGAAGGGAUGAGAAAUCUUUUAAGUUGUUGUCCUUUGUAUUCUGAGCAUCUUAUUGUAUUCCAGACAAUAGAGAUUAUUAUUCCGCAUUUGUAAACAGGAAAAGCAAGCAGAUACAUUUUAUCUGUUCAAGUUUGCAUAACUAAUGGCGAAGGCAGAGGAAGAACCCAAUAAAGAAGAAUUUGUAGCAAAG
rnacentral:lncRNA from 1 species